UACGAAGGGGGCUAGCGUUGCUCGGAAUUACUGGGCGUAAAGCGCACGUAGGCGGUCUUUUAAGUCGGGGGUGAAAUCCUGGAGCUCAACUCCAGAACUGCCUUCGAUACUGGAAGACUCGAGUCCGGGAGAGGUGAGUGGAACUGCGAGUGUAGAGGUGAAAUGCGUAGAUAUCGGGAGGAACACCUGUGGCGAAAGCGGCUUCCUGGUCCAGCACCGACGUUCAGGCACGAAAGCGUGGGGAGCAAACAGG
rnacentral:rRNA from 1 species